rnacentral:rRNA from 1 species
UACGUAGGCAGCGAGCGUUGUUCGGAAUUACUGGGCGUAAAGAGUGUGUAGGCGGUGUUCCCAGUCUGUUGUGAAAUCUCCCGGCUUAACUGGGAGGGUGCGCUAGAAACUGGAAUGCUAGAGGAUGGGAGAGGUAAGCGGAAUUCCUGGUGUAGCGGUGAAAUGCGUAGAUAUCAGGAGGAACACCUGUGGUGUAGACAGCUUACUGGACCAUUUCUGACGCUGAGACACGAAAGCGUGGGUAGCAAACAGG